UGGGGAAUUGUUCGCAAUGGGCGCAAGCCUGACGACGCAACGCCGCGUGGAGGACGAAGAUCUUCGGGUCGUAAACUCCUUUCGAUCGGGAAGAACGCCUUCCGGGUGAACAAUCCGGAAGGGUGACGGUACCGAGAGAAGACGCCCCGGCUCACUCUGUGCCAGCAGCCGCGGUAAUACAGGGGGGGCAAGCGUUGUUCGGAAUUACUGGGCGUAAAGGGCUCGUAGGCGGCCAACUAAGUCCGACGUGAAAUCCCCAAGCUUAACUUGGGAACUGCGUCGGAUACUGGAUGGCUUGAAUUCGGGAGAGGGAUGCAGAAUUCCAGGUGUAGCGGUGAAAUGCGUAGAUAUCUGGAGGAAUACCGGUGGCGAAGGCGGCAUCCUGGACCGACAUUGACGCUGAGGAGCGAAAGCUAGGGGAGCAAA
rnacentral:rRNA from 1 species